rnacentral:rRNA from 1 species
AGAACGAACGCUGGCGGCAUGCCUAAUACAUGCAAGUCGAACGAACUCUUCGGAGUUAGUGGCGCACGGGUGCGUAACGCGUGGGAAUCUGCCCUUGGGUUCGGAAUAACAGUUGGAAACGACUGCUAAUACCGGAUGAUGACGAAAGUCCAAAGAUUUAUCGCCCAGGGAUGAGCCCGCGUAGGAUUAGCUAGUUGGUGAGGUAAAGCUCACCAAGGCGACGAUCCGUUAGCUGGUCUAGAGAGGAUGAUCAGCCACACGUGGGACUGAGACCGACGGCCCAGACCUCCGACGGGAGCAGCGAGUAGGAUUAGUAGACAAGUGGGACGAAGCCUAGACUCCGAG